rnacentral:rRNA from 1 species
UACAGAGGUCUCAAGCGUUGUUCGGAUUCAUUGGGCGUAAAGAGCGCGUAGGCGGUCCGAUAAGUCGGCUGUGAAAGUCAGGGGCUCAACCCUUGAAAGCCGGCCGAUACUGUCGGACUAGAGUCCGGAAGAGGCAAGUGGAAUUCCCGGUGUAGCGGUGAAAUGCGCAGAUAUCGGGAGGAACACCAAUGGCGAAGGCAGCUUGCUGGGACGGUAC